GAUUUUGCUGGAGCUGCACGGAGCGCGUUUCACCUGCAGUUCAGACCAGGCGGAAAAAGAGGAGCGGGCGGCAGAGAGAGCGAGCGCGCACGCCAAGGAGAGACCAAGAGAGGGAGGGGAAAAAGCAGGGAGAGCGAGCGGGCGAGAGACAGCCAGAGAGUUGGGUUCCCCAGAAGGUGGAGGCAAGGGACCAAAAAGGUGGGGGUGGCGGGAGGGGGUGGGGGGCGGGGACCGGGGAUUGCGCUGCUGGGCUGGGAGCCGGGAGCUGGCGCGGGAUAGCGGCAGCGGCAGCAGAGGCGGCGGCGGCGGCGGGGGCGGCGGCGGCGGCGGCGGCGAGGGCAGCGGCAGCGGCGCGUGCAAGCGCCGGGGCGCAGCGGGGAAAAUGACUAUUGGCUCUGGAACUCUACUUGUGCUGCUGUCGGUCUACGGCUCGCUCCGGGCCCACAGUGGGAAUCUUACAGCCAGAGCAGCCUGCAAACCGGGUUUCUCCGAAGAAGCUUACACUGCAUUAAUCUCCCAAAAUGUUCUGCAAGGAGAGAAGUUACUUAAAGCCACAUCAAGGAAAAGAAAUCUAAGAAUGAUCACUUUAGGAAGUAAAAUGGACUGA
rnacentral:lncRNA from 1 species